CCUUAAUUUUCAUGUCUUGAACUUUCCCCGCUAAUUCGUUUCCCGAAAGAGGGGAGAUUGGAGUAUCUCAAACGCAAGGAAUACAGCUACGGGACAAUCAAUUCAAUGGGCCCACAAAGAUCUAGUCAGAUCUGCCACGUCGCCCACACUCCAAUUCGACAGGACUCCGAGUUUAUAGCAUCCAAUAGCAUAUACCAUAUUCCCGCCGUUAUACCACCACAAGCUACUGCAGCGCCACCACAGAAGAUUCACCGCUUCACAACAAUGGUGUCUCUAACUAAUAACCAAAUAUUACUGUCUCUUUCACUGUCUUCCUCUCAAAUGGCAACUCCGCGAGAAUACAAUCAGCUCGAAGUUAAUUCUUACAUCCGUCGGAGAGCUCAUUCAAGGAAGUGGAAACUAUGGAGUUCAUCGCAGCCAUUCAACUCCUCACCCUCUAGGAUCAAAACAUUUCAGCUUGUGACAGUGAGAGCUAAAAGUUAUGAAGCAGGACAGUCAGAGGACGCUGAGGAGAUAUUGCAUAAGUCUUCCAAUAAUUUACCUGGUAGUCCGGAAGGUAAAACUGUCCGCACAGGAAGUUCGUUUCUGGCAAAACUGGCAAUAGCGCUGGGUAUAGCUGCUACAAUUACAUUCCUAUCCAUAGGCCUUAAACAGCCUAAUCAAGGAUCAAAUUUUGGGAUUCAAUAUCUGGUUGAUGGAUCAUCAUCUUCCACAAUUACUACACCUGCUUCUGGUUUUUCUUUCAAAGCUUUUGGCUAUAGAGUCAUGCUGCCAGAAUAUGCUCCAGGAUGGAUCUACUUUUGGCUUCUGAUGGCAGCUGGUUGUGGAUUUUUUAUUAGCGAGGAGGCUUUGAAUAUAUGGGUUGGAGCCUCUAUAGCACGAAUGCUUGUUCUAGAUGGAACGUGGCAAUCGUUGGUGAACUCCUUUUCCAGAAAUGCUCCAUAUAUAGCAUCCACUAUUCUCUGGGUGUACUGGGGUGUCUGUAUCAGCGAUAUGAUACCUUUUUACCUUGGGAAGCUUUUUAAGCAAUCUGGUGCGUCCAAUGAUGUUUGCUCAAAGGGAUCGGUGAUGAGAAGGCAAGAGAUAUUACAAACGCUGUACAAAAAUAUGGGAAUCUCAUUGGUUUUGUGGAACGGUUUUCUCUUGGAGUGAGAAAUCCCACCGCUUUCCUUGCAGGGGCUCUGGAUAUAUCACCAGAGUAUUUCUUUGCCGGUGUCUGUUGCGGUGGCUUGAUAACUCUUCCAAUUCAGUUGACAAUUGGAUUUUUACUAAGAGAGCGUCCUGUAUUUGCAGUUGCAACUGUUGCUACUGUACUGGGAAUCUGGACAGUAUUCCCCUAUGCAGUGGCUGCUUGUACAGCAUUAUUCCUAUAUCUACGGCGCCAGUUUUCCGGUUAGGCCAACUCAUAACUUUUCUGAUUGGUUUCCCAAGUCAUAAACUACGAGGACUGGAGGCGAGCACAUGACUGCUCGCGCUGGUGCAAGCCUGGAUGGAUGAUGCCACUAUUUGUUGAAAAUCACCCACAUUUCUAGUAUCUUCCAAAUCAAACUGAUUGAAAAUCGUCGGAGAUAUUCUAGAAUGAUAAACUAAUGUAUAAUUGAUUAAUGAUUUGCGCAUGGGCACUAUUCUUUAUUCUCAACGAGAAUGUUUAACUCUUUAAGACGAGAAAUCUUUUUCAAAGGGAGGGGGGAAAAAGAAAAAGAAUGGGUAAAGGCUGCAAAAUUAGCUUCAAGAUUGUCUGUGUAAAUUUAUUAAGAAUUGAAGAUUAAAUGGAACCAAAGAGUAUGGCCUGGUGGUCAAUGAAAUGGGUUCCCUUGGAGAUCAGGUUCA